rnacentral:rRNA from 1 species
UGGGGAAUAUUGCACAAUGGGCGCAAGUCUGAUGCAGCAACGCCGCGUGAACGAUGAAGGUCUUCGGAUCGUAAAGUUCUGUUGCAGGGGAAGAUAAUGACGGUACCCUGUGAGGAAGCCCCGGCUAACUACGUGCCAGCAGCCGCGGUAAUACGUAGGGGGCUAGCGUUAUCCGGAUUUACUGGGCGUAAAGGGUGCGUAGGUGGUCUUUCAAGUCGGUGGUUAAAGGCUACGGCUCAACCGUAGUUAGCCUCCGAAACUGGAAGACUUGAGUGCAGGAGAGGAAAGUGGAAUUCCCAGUGUAGCGGUGAAAUGCGUAGAUAUAUGGAGGAACACCGGUGGCGAAAGCGGCUCUCUGGUCUGUAACUGACGCUGAGGCUCGAAAGCGUGGGGAGCGAACAGG